GUGGGGAAUAUUGCACAAUGGGGGAAACCCUGAUGCAGCGACGCCGCGUGAGUGAAGAAGUAUUUCGGUACGUAAAGCUCUAUCAGCAGGGAAGAAAAUGACGGUACCUGACUAAGAAGCCCCGGCUAACUACGUGCCAGCAGCCGCGGUAAUACGUAGGGGGCAAGCGUUAUCCGGAUUUACUGGGUGUAAAGGGAGCGUAGACGGCAGCGCAAGUCUGGAGUGAAAUCCCAUGGCUUAACCAUGGAACUGCUUUGGAAACUGUGCAGCUGGAGUGCAGGAGAGGUAAGCGGAAUUCCUAGUGUAGCGGUGAAAUGCGUAGAUAUUAGGAGGAACACCAGUGGCGAAGGCGGCUUACUGGACUGUAACUGACGUUGAGGCUCGAAAGCGUGGGGAGCAAACAGGAUUAGAAACCCUAGUAGUCC
rnacentral:rRNA from 1 species